rnacentral:rRNA from 1 species
UCGGCUUAUAAACUAUCACGACGCCCAAAAAGUCGUGGCUUGGGUUUUGCCAGCUGGCGUGAUCUCCUCUAUGAGUAAUCAUGUGAGGUGCCAGAUCUAUGGCGUUUCCCUAAUGUAUCCGGAUGCACCCUUGUCUUGGCAGAAAGCCGUGGUGAGGUGCAGUGGCGGAAUCGUGGUUUAAUAAUCGGGUUGGUACUCAGUUGUCAGUGUGUUUGGCGAUCCCCUAGUCGGCACACUUAUGAUUUCUGGGAUAAUUCCAUACCAGGCACGUUCCGUCACUGUCACUUUGUCAUUGGUUUGAUGCUGAACUUGGUCAUGUGUCUGAUGCUAUUUUCAUAUAGCGACGGUACCCUUCGUGGUCUGUCUUCCUGACCUCGGUUCAGACGUGAUUACCCGCUGAACUUAAGCAUAUC